rnacentral:tRNA from 2 species
GGCCUGGUAGUUCAGUUGGUUAGAAUGCCGCCCUGUCACGGCGGAGGUCACGGGUUCGAGUCCCGUCCAGGUCGCCA